GAAGUAGUAAGUUACCAUUUUAAACUAUUGGCCUUCAAAUCCGAAAACGAAUUAUUGUUCCUGCUUUC
rnacentral:tRNA from 1 species